AUUGAACGCUGGCGGCAGGCCUAACACAUGCAAGUCGAGCGGAUGAAGGGAGCUUGCUCCUGGAUUCAGCGGCGGACGGGUGAGUAAUGCCUAGGAAUCUGCCUGGUAGUGGGGGAUAACGUCCGGAAACGGGCGCCAAUACCGCAUACGUCCUGAGGGAGAAAGUGGGGGAUCUUCGGACCUCACGCUAUCAGAUGAGCCUAGGUCGGAUUAGCUAGUUGGUGGGGUAAAGGCCUACCAAGGCGACGAUCCGUAACUGGUCUGAGAGGAUGAUCAGUCACACUGGAACUGAGACACGGUCCAGACUCCUACGGGAGGCAGCAGUGGGGAAUAUUGGACAAUGGGCGAAAGCCUGAUCCAGCCAUGCCGCGUGUGUGAAGAAGGUCUUCGGAUUGUAAAGCACUUUAAGUUGGGAGGAAGGGCAGUAAGUUAAUACCUUGCUGUUUUGACGUUACCAACAGAAUAAGCACCGGCUAACCUCGUG
rnacentral:rRNA from 1 species